AGAGUUUUUUCCUGGCUCAGGAUGAACGCUGGCGGCGUGCCUAACACAUGCAAGUCGAACGGAGCGCCCGGACGGAGUAUUUCGGUAUGAAGACCAGGUGACUGAGUGGCGGACGGGCGAGUAACGCGUGGACAACCUGCCGUGUACAGGGGGAUAACAGCCGGAAACGGCUGCUAAUACCGCAUAUGCGCACAGUGCCGCAUGGCACAGGGCGGAAAGCCUAGAUCUUAUCUAGUACGGUACACGAUGGGUCCGCGUCUGAUUAGGUAGUUGGCGGGGUAACGGCCCACCAAGCCCACGAUCAGUAGCCGGCCUGAGAGGGCGGACGGCCACACUGGGACUGAGACACGGCCCAGACUCCUGCGGGAGGCAGCAGUGGGGAAUAUUGCACAAUGGGGGGAACCCUGAUGCAGCGACGCCGCGUGAAGGAAGAAGUAUCUCGGUAUGUAAACUUCUAUCAGCAGGGAAGAAAGAAGACGGUACCUGACUAAGAAGCCCCGGCUAACUACGUGCCAGCAGCCGCGGUAAUACGUAGGGGGCGAGCGUUAUCCGGAUUUACUGGGUGUAAAGGGAGCGUAGACGGCCAUGCAAGCUCGGUGUGAAAGGUGCGGGCACAACCCGCAGACUGCACUGAGAACUGUAUGGCUGGAGUGCCGGAGGGGCAGGCGGAAUUCCUGGUGUAGCGGUGAAAUGCGUAGAUAUCAGGAGGAACACCGGUGGCGAAGGCGGCCUGCUGGACGGCGACUGACGUUGAGGCUCGAAAGCGUGGGGAGCGAACAGGAUUAGAUACCCUGGUAGUCCACGCCGUAAACGAUGUAUACCAGGUGUCGGGCAUCAAGGAUGGCCGGUGCCGUAGCAAACGCAUUAAGUAAUCCACCUGGGGAGUACGUUCGCAAGAAUGAAACUCAAAGGAAUUGACGGGGACCCGCACAAGCGGUGGAGCAUGUGGUUUAAUCCGAAGCAACGCGAAGAACCUUACCCGGCCUUGACAUCCCGAUGAAUGUACAGUAAUGUGUACAGGACUUCGGUACAUCGGAGACAGGUGGUGCAUGGUUGUCGUCAGCUCGUGUCGUGAGAUGUUGGGUUAAGUCCCGCAACGAGCGCAACCCCUGCCCUCAGUAGCCAGCAGGUGAAGCUGGGAACUCUGAGGGGACUGCCCGGGAUAACCGGGAGGAAGGCGGGGAUGACGUCAAAUCAUCAUGCCCCUUAUGGCCGGGGCUACACACGUGCUACAAUGGCGGAAACAGAGGGAGGCAGCCCCGUGAGGGUGAGCGAACCCCAAAAAUACCGCCUCAGUUCGGAUUGUAGUCUGCAACCCGACUACAUGAAGCCGGAAUCGCUAGUAAUCGCGAAUCAGAAUGUCGCGGUGAAUACGUUCCCGGGUCGUGUACACACCGCCCGUCA
rnacentral:rRNA from 1 species